CUUAAGGCAGCUGGAGAAAUCUCCUAGGUACAAGAAUGGGACAGAGGGAACAGCUGGCCCAGGAAUUUCCCAACCCCAACUGAGCUCAAGCAAAACUAGUUAAAUCAGUGGAUAAAAUAAAGGCACUGACUGGCCACAGAGGCAUCUGGACCCUGCAGAGGAACUAGGCUUCUAACCUGAUCUAGGACACUGCUGUCCCGGCUUUACUCACUCAGCCUCCGGAGUGCAGCCCUACUCCAGUCACACCCACAGCCUCAUCUUCCUGCCAAGCCAUAACAGUGAAUAGCAGCUGGGUGUCCUUCGGGAAUAAGAAGGAAGCACUGGGAAGAACAGAUGCCCAGGACAGAAGGGCCUUCAAACAAUAAGGCCCCUCCUCCUGGAACAUGAGGACACCAAGGGUAGCACCUGUAAGUGUAAAGAACCAUAGCAGAUACUAGCAACCGUGUUGAUGUCCAUGAUCUGUGCUGCCACCAGCUACUGUGGGCAGGGAGGUGUCUAUAGACUUAUAAGCUGGGAAGGAGAGACACUGAAGACAUUCUGUGCCAACCUCUCACCAAAAAAGAAAUAG
rnacentral:lncRNA from 1 species